rnacentral:piRNA from 3 species
UGCUUGUUAUUUGCUUCUGGGAGA